AUUGAACGCUGGCGGCAUGCUUUACACAUGCAAGUCGAACGGCAGCGCGGGGGCAACCCCGGCGGCGAGUGGCGAACGGGUGAGUAAUGCAUCGGAACGUAUCCUGUAAUGGGGGAUAACGUAGCGAAAGUUACGCUAAUACCGCAUACGCUCGAGAGAGGAAAGUGGGGGAUCGCAAGACCUCACGUUAUAGGAGCGGCCGAUGUCCGAUUAGCUAGUUGGUGGGGUAAAGGCCUACCAAGGCGACGAUCGGUAGCUGGUCUGAGAGGAUGAUCAGCCACACUGGGACUGAGACACGGCCCAGACUCCUACGGGAGGCAGCAGUGGGGAAUUUUGGACAAUGGGCGAAAGCCUGAUCCAGCCAUGCCGCGUGCGGGAAGAAGGCCUUCGGGUUGUAAACCGCUUUAGUCCGGGAAAAAGGGGUGCGAGGAUAAUACCCUCGUGCUUUGAUGGUACUGGAAGAAUAAGCACCGGCUAACUACGUG
rnacentral:rRNA from 1 species